rnacentral:lncRNA from 1 species
GAUAUAAUAUAUUAUAGAAGAAUAAAUUUAAAAAUAAAGUAAACUUCCAUUUCAUUUUUUAAAAAAAGAGAAGAAAAAGACAUAGAGAAAGAAAACUACCAUCAACUACCACCCUAUCUGUGAAGCAAAUUCUACUGCUAUAUAUGGCCCAAGGCAUGACCUGUACCUACAAAUCUGUAUUCAGGCCUCUCCCCUACCUGCUGCAUGGUAUGAAUUGAAAGAAGGAAGUAGGCCUGGCAGUGGUGGCGCACGCCUUUAAUCCCAGCACUAGGGAGGCAGAGACAGGCAGAUUUCUGAGUUCGAGGCCAGCCUGGUCUACAAAGUGAGUUCCAGGACAGCCAGAGCUAUACAGAGAAACCCUGUCUCGAAAAAAACAAAAAAACAAAAAACAAAAACAAGGGGCACAAAAUAUACUUGUUUUCCAUAAACUCAUCUAGGGUAUAGCGUGGCCAGGCAACCGGGCCUAUAUAUUAGGUAGUCUAUAGUCUAUAUUGUCAUGGAGGACAAACAUAGCAUUGAUGUAUGUCUCUGUCUUAAGUCAAUAGGAGCUCAAGAACACUCUUACCCAUCUCUACUAAUGGCCUUCUAUAGCACACUCUUUCCCAUUUAGACCAAAGUCACAAAGGACACAUGAAUAUGCACUCAAUACAUUUUGUAUUGAUGAAUAACUGCCAUGGUAAAAUAGCUAAGCCUGCUGAAAGUGAUCUUGUAUGAAAGCAACCAAUCUGUUUAAGAUAUAAGUUUGAAAAGUUAAAAGCAAUGAGAUUAUAAUUAAUGGCCCAAGCAAUGUAGAAAUUAAAGUUGUAAGCCAUGGGAAAGUGGUGAAUCAGGAUUCAAACCAUCCCUGAUUCUGUUCUUUUUCUCUUUUCCUUUUGGCUAGUCCUUCUCAAACUUCAGCCAUAAAAUGCUUUACUAUUCCUGAAUGAUCAAUUUAAAGGUAACAUUCUUCAUGAAGGACAUUCUUCAUAGUCCUCUCUGUUGAAGGAAUAAAAGAUCAAGUCCUCUCCUGUUUUGAAGAACUACCUCAGACAAGGAGGUUAGAGAUUCUUGCAAAUGGGAAAUAGAGGUUUCUAUCUUUUCUGUAUCUGUAUCUAUUGCUGUUCUAAGGAGCUCAUAAUUUUUUACUUGCAAAACCAGGGCAGAAGUGUCAGUAGCUACUCCUCCCACACUCAGAGAGUUCCUUGGCACCCAAAUUUUAAAAAUUUAAAAAUAAAAGACAUGAUUUAAAUAAUGUGGUGUAUGGGGAUAUAAUCCCCCCUUUUUUGUUUUUUUUUAUGAAGAUAUUGUUUUAAAGUUCCAUGGACCUGUUCCAUAAUACCUUGUCCUUUAGGAUAAUAAGGAAAUAUGAAUAACAUCCAUUUGCCAUAAUUGAUUAGGUAUGAAUCCUCAAAAAUUAACACCAUUAUGUGGUACAUGAAGAAAUUGAGGACACUGAGAACAAGUCUUUACAAUUUGAUGUGUAUAAUUUCUAGAAAUAUGAAAUUGUUGUCUCAAACUAUUACUAUUUUGAUGUUAUAAAGAAUGAGAUUGUUUGGCUAAUUGUUCCUGUAAGUCCUGGUACAAAUGUGCUGUGACAUUGGCCAGGGGUUCAGGCAAUCAUGUAUGAGCUCUUAAGUGUCUUCUAAAGUAAGGAACAGUACAUGUUUCUUAAAUUAAGCUGUAUUUGUAUAAAUAACUGUAAAAUUUGAGAAUUAGCAGUAUCUAAAAAUGGAACAAUUUCAUGCAAUUGUAAACCAUGAGCUAUAUAUCGGCUAUCAGUAUACAAAUUAAAAGCUUGAUUUUUUUUUCAACAUUUCAAAAACAGUGGUUACAACACAUAAUUCAAUUAUUUGUGAAGCAAGGGGGAAACUCAGGAGAAUUAUCAAAUGCUUCUCUCCCAUUAGAUGAGCUGAUUAUAAAUACAGUAAAUGCAUUCUUUAUCGGCUGCAUGGGUAAAUUUACAGGAAAUACAAAAGUAUGUAUAGAGGCAAAUUCUAACAAUUGUCUUUUGGAUAAUGAUUAUCAGAUUUGCCUAAAAUGUUUCCAUGCAAUAGGUGAAAUAUCAGUAUUCUUUAAUAACCAAUGUAAUUGCUGUUUGGAAUAAGGAAUAAACAUUUCAUCAGGUUCUUAAGACAUUCUGAAAGAGAAUUAAAAUUCAAGGUACAUGACUCAUGCGGCUUGCUAGUUAAGAAGGCUUUUUGGGCCUAGAGCAUAGAACAAAGGCUGUAAAGCUAUCCCAGGAACUGGCUAGUCAUAAAGAUAGGGAAGACAUACAAGAAUGUCCAGACUGGCCUGGCGCCUCCCUAUCUCCCGCCCUUCUGACCUGGGUUAAAUGUUAACCAGAUGCUCUGCUGACUUAGAUAAGCACCCGGCCUCAGAAUUCCUGAUGCCCUGACCUGAACAUACUCUUUUUCUGAUGUGUAUGUUUAAAUGAACCAAUCGUGUGAAACCAUGCCAAUUCCUCCCCCAGCCCCAGGCCCUUUUCUUUAAAAACCCCUAGCUUUCGAGCCUCGUGGCCGACAACCGCUAUCUCCUGUGUGAGAUACAUGUCGGCCCGGAGCUCCGUCAUUAAACUACCUCGUAUGUUUGCAUC